rnacentral:lncRNA from 1 species
AUUCGACACUAACAGCUGAAAACUGUUUACUGCCUCCAAUGUGCAAGAUGCAUACGAAAAUUUAAGGCAGCACGAGUUGCAAACCAACAGCUGAUAUGCUUCUUCUAAGGUUACAAAGGAUUUCGGAAAGAUUGGUUUGGAGACAGCUAAGAAAGUGUUUUGGGAAGACCAUUCCAAGGUGUUGCAUGGGAGAAUUAAUUUCAGUGGUACACCAUUUGUAAUACUCGGAAGGAAAAUAUUUGACUGCCAUUUUGGUAAAAACAGGAAAGAAAAACGUAAAUUGCAAAAAGAUCUUGAAAGGAGAGAUGAAGACCACAGGUACACAAAAGGAAAGAAGUUUUUGAUGCAAGACUCUAAGAAAAUUGGUUGUCCUGGGAGAUGUGUAUUUAGGGAAAUAUGAGGUUCCCCACAUUUAC